rnacentral:rRNA from 1 species
UGAGGAAUAUUGGGCAAUGCCCGCAAGGGUGACCCAGCAACGCCGCGUGGAGGAUGAAUGUCGUAAGAUUGUAAACUCCUGUUAGAGGGGAAGAAUAGUACCGGUUGGACCGGUAUAUGACUGUACCCUCAGAGAAAGCCCCGGCUAACUACGUGCCAGCAGCCGCGGUAGUACGUAGGGGGCAAGCGUUGUCCGGAUUUACUGGGUGUAAAGGGCGCGCAGGCGGGAUAAAAAGUCAGUGGUGAAAUCCUACAGCUUAACUGUAGAACUGCCUUUGAUACUUUUAUUCUUGAGUUCGGGAGAGAGAGACGGAAUUCCAGGUGUAGUGGUGAAAUACGUAGAUAUCUGGAAGAACACCAGUUGCGAAGGCGGUCUCUUGGUCCGACACUGACGCUGAGGCGCGAAAGCGUGGGGAGCAAACA